GUGACUUCCCCUCUGAUGCAUAAAAAGAACCACGUACUCCCCCUUUCAAUUUCUUCCCACCAGAGUCGUUCUCUCCUCAACCUUAAAGCCGCUACUUCCUCGGCAUUUUCAUCCUCAUGAGCUUCUUUCUGGGAUAGCGCAGCUAAGCCAAACGACGAACUUAAAAAUUUCGUUAAUAGAAAUCGAAGCCGGAAAGGAGCCCCGUCCUGCAUUGCUUCGCGCGUUAGGGUGAGUAAUUCCUCUCGUGCCCUCCCUACUCCCCCUCGCCCUCCCCCAUCUUGCCUUCUUCACCCUCGCGGAGGUCGACACAAAUGAGGUAACAUUCGACUGCUUUCCCUCGCCCUCGCCUCCCUGAAUUCGGGUAUCACGUUCGCCGUUGAGCUUCGUUUUAUCGCCACCUGCUUUCUCUUUCCAUUGGAGCCGCUUACCUGUCUUUCAUCCUCACCUUGAAACUUAACCCUAGUUGUUAUUCACAACAUUCAAAACGUUCACGCACACUCUCCUGCGCUUCGUUGUCUGCAAGCUCUGGAUCUGAGGCUUGGAAAAUUUUGAGGCGAAGUGAUUUCUCAAAGCGAGGAUUUGGGGCUCGAAUACGCUUAUUGAAUCGGCAGUUUCCGAGUUUUCUUCCGCUAACUGCGCAUCAAGUGUCGUUUCACCAAACAGGGGCAAAAUGGUC